rnacentral:lncRNA from 1 species
UGGAACUGAUGAGCUGGUGGUAGUGCGGCAAGUGACCAGUGACCCGAGGAGCAUCGGUGGUGGAGUAGUGUCCUCCCUCUCCCCCCCUCAAGACCCCUCUCUCUCUCUCUAAUUGGGAAUCUACUAAACACAUUCAACUCAAAGAUAAGAUCGCCUCCCCCAAUGGUGGCUCUCCACCCCGUAAAUAGGGGCCCACAUGGGCCAAGGAUGGAGGAACACACAAGAGGUCCAUCAGAGAAGAGGUGAAGGGAAGAUGGACACCAAAUCCUCCCAUUGGACCCACACGUAUGGCCCAACGGUAGGAGGGAAGAGGAAGGAAAGGAAACAAGAGGGGAGGGGUACAUGGGCCCAAAGGAUGGGAGUCCCACAUGUGGCAAGGCGACAAAUCUAAGAUGUUCACUAAUGUGGGGUGCGACGACAAGAGAGAGACAUAGGAUAGGAGUUGCCCUUCAUGCGGUAUAACGGAAUACAGGGUCCUUCAUCCUCGCUCGAGCUCCACGAUCCGGUUGAAUAUGUGUGGACGGGGUCUCCUCCAUCCUCUUGAGCUCUAGUCGUGGUGGUGGCAGGUCCCAUUCGCCACCAAUUUUAUUUGUUAGAGUUAUAAAGGCAUCAUAUUUUGACGAUGACAAAAAUCACUUAAAGUUAAUUAAGAAUAACCAC